GGAGGGGUGGCUGAGUGGUUUAAGGCACCGGUUUCGAAAACCGGCGUGCGGGCAACCGUACCGUGAGUUCAAAUCUCACCUCUUCCG
rnacentral:tRNA from 1 species